UACGAGGGGGGCAAGCGUUGUUCGGAAUUACUGGGCGUAAAGGGUGCGUAGGCGGUUCGUUAAGUCUGUUGUGAAAUCCCCGGGCUCAACCUGGGAAUGGCAAUGGAUACUGGCGAGCUAGAGUGUGAUAGAGGAUGGUGGAAUUCCCGGUGUAGCGGUGAAAUGCGUAGAGAUCGGGAGGAACAUCAGUGGCGAAGGCGGCCAUCUGGAUCAACACUGACGCUGAAGCACGAAAGCGUGGGGAGCAAACAGG
rnacentral:rRNA from 1 species